CCAGACUCCUACGGGAGGCAGCAGUGGGGAAUAUUGCACAAUGGGGGGAACCCUGAUGCAGCGAUGCCGCGUGGAGGAAGAAGGUUUUCGGAUUGUAAACUCCUUUUAUCAGGGACGAUAAUGACGGUACCUGAAGAAAAAGCUCCGGCUAACUACGUGCCAGCAGCCGCGGUAAUACGGAGGAUGCGAGCGUUAUCCGGAUUUAUUGGGUUUAAAGGGUGCGCAGGCGGAUUUUUAAGUCAGCGGUCAAAUCGUGGGGCUCAACCCCAUCCAGCCGUUGAAACUGGGGAUCUAGAGUGUGCGAGAGGUAUGCGGAAUGCGUGGUGUAGCGGUGAAAUGCAUAGAUAUCACGCAGAACUCCGAUUGCGAAGGCAGCAUGCCGGCUCCACACUGACGCUGAGGCACGAAAGCGUGGGUAUCGAACAGGAUUAGAUACCCCAGUAU
rnacentral:rRNA from 1 species